AGAGAGAGAGAGAGAGAAGAUGUAUGAUGGACAGAGGCAGCAUAGUCCCUUUUUUUUUUUUACUUUUGUUGAAUUGCUUUGUAAAAAAGGAUGAAACAAUUAACAAAAUUUAACCCCACAAGCAAUUCACAGUUCUAAGGAGUUUUUACAUAUCCAUGAAUUGAUCCCUACGAAAGAAUUGAUGGAAGAAUGAGUUAAAAUUACUUUUGAUCCAAAGCAAAGGACUGCGACCCAUUAAUUUCAGAAAAUAUGAUCGAGUAGUAAUCAGCUUUCAGAAAAUGAGACCAAGCAGUAAUCAACAGCAGAAAUAUGAGCUCAUAAGCCAGAAAUUUGGCAUUUAACAUCCAGGAUAAACCCUAAUCCACAAAUCGUUGGCUUCCAGGAAGCCCAGUUUUAUAUAUCACUAAUGUUUUCCCAGGAAACAAACGGAUUCCAAUAUCUUCUAAAAAAGAAAAACAGAAAGGAUAAUAAGAAGGCGAGCUAUGGAAAACGUACCUGAGAUUGGAAAACGACGUUGAUGAGGAGUCGCAGAGAAGACCUUUCUGGCCCUGUGUAUAAUUUCUUGUUGCUCAAGAA
rnacentral:misc_RNA from 1 species